rnacentral:rRNA from 1 species
GACGAACGCUGGCGGCGUGCUUAACACAUGCAAGUCGAACGGAAAGGCCCUGCUUUUGUGGGGUGCUCGAGUGGCGAACGGGUGAGUAACACGUGAGUAACCUGCCCUUGACUUUGGGAUAACUUCAGGAAACUGGGGCUCAUACCGGAUAGGAGCUCCUGCUGCAUGGUGGGGGUUGGAAAGUUUCGGCGGUUGGGGAUGGACUCGCGGCUUAUCAGCUUGUUGGUGGGGUAGUGGCUUACCAAGGCUUUGACGGGUAGCCGGCCUGAGAGGGUGACCGGCCACAUUGGGACUGAGAUACGGCGCAGACUCCUACGGGAGGCAGCAGUGGGGAAUAUUGCACAAUGGGCGGAAGCCUGAUGCAGCAACGCCGCGUGCGGGAUGACGGCCUUCGGGUUGUAAACCGCUGUCGCCUGUGACGAAGCGGGAGUGACGGUAAUGGGUAAAGAAGCACCGGCUAACUACGUG